ANAGUUUGAUCNUGGCUCANGAUGAACGCUAGCGACNGGCCUAACACNUGCAAGUCGAGGGGCAUCGGGACGUAGCAAUACNUUGCCGGCGACCGGCGGAUGGGUGAGUAACGCGUAUGCAACCUACCCGUAGCAGGGGGAUAGCCUGUUGAAAGACGGAUUAAUACCCCGUAACACAGGGGCUCCGCAUGGAGAUUAUUGUUAAAGGGUCAUUUCUUUUANAGGUGGUCCGGCUGCGGAUGGGCAUGCGUUCCAUUAGGUANUUGGUGUANGUAACAGCUCACCAAGCCGACGAUGGAUAGGGGAACUGANAGGUUGGUCCCCCACACUGGUACUGAGACACGGACCAGACUCCUACGGGAGGCANCANUGAGGAAUCUUGGUCAAUGGACGCAAGUCUGAACCANNCAUGUCGCGUGAAGGAGGACGGCCCUAAGGGUUGUAAACUUCUUUUGCAACGGAAUAAAGUUUGCCACGAGUUGGCGAUUUGCAAGUACNCUGCGAAUAANGAUCGGCUAACUCCGU
rnacentral:rRNA from 1 species